GUCACUUUGCCGGAGUGGUUAACGGGAUCGCCUGCUAAUCUUAGCCGAGCGGUUGGGCUUUGCCCGCGUGUGUUCGAAUCGCACAGGUGACG
rfam:Gymnopus luxurians FD-317 M1 unplaced genomic scaffold GYMLTscaffold_9, whole genome shotgun sequence.